GAAAGUUACUUCGGUACAUCGGUGACAGGUGGUGCAUGGUUGUCGUCAGCUCGUGUCGUGAGAUGUUGGGUUAAGUCCCGCAACGAGCGCAACCCCUAUUGUUAGUUGCCAUCAUUCAGUUGGGCACUCUAGCGAGACUGCCGGUAAUAAACCGGAGGAAGGUGGGGAUGACGUCAAAUCAUCAUGCCCCUUAUGACCUGGGCUACACACGUGCUACAAUGGUUGGUACAACGAGUUGCGAGUUGGUGACGGCGAGCUAAUCUCUUAAAGCCAAUCUCAGUUCGGAUUGUAGGCUGCAACUCGCCUACAUGAAGUCGGAAUCGCUAGUAAUCGCGGAUCAGCACGCCCGCGGUCGAGUACGUUCCCGGGCCUU
rnacentral:rRNA from 1 species